CUCUUAAAGGAUUAUGAUUAGGAAAGGAGCCUAGUGUGAAGCUUAAGCCUGGUCCAUACAAAGACAAGUCGUUUUUAAGACAAGAUUUUUCAUUUCUUUGUUCAAAAAUAAAUUAAAAAAAAUCUGUUCCUAGUUUCAACAGGCUAUCAUGAUUGUACCUCAAGAAAAGGUGAUUCUGAUGGGUCCGUGUACGGAUCUGGUAAUUGGAUUUUCCGUUCUGAAACGGGUAUUGAAAAACAAAAAACGACUGGUUAUUUGAUUUUCGUUUUAAAAAACAAAAAUUAAAAUUGAAAUACAAGGCAUUUUUCCUUUUCAUGAUCAAAAAGGGAUAUAUGAUUUUUUUUUAAAAAAAAUGCUUUGAUUUUCGUUUUAUAUUUAAAAUAACAAGAAAGUAAAAUCAGUAAGAGACAGAAACGAAAAAAGGUCCGUUUUUUCAUUUUCUGAGACCGGAAGAGGUCAUCAGCAAGUGUGGAGCCAAACAGAGUACGGUGCAUAGACUGUACAUACAUUUUUUUCGUGAGUUUUCAUGUUCAAAAUGAGAGAUCAGGUGGCCGAUCUUAAAAUAAAUCAAUAUUGAUUUUUUUAUAGAGCGUUAAAGUUUUGCGAAGCCAGGGGGCGGGACUACUUGAAUGACAGUCCGGUCUGGAAUGAUUGACAGGUCCUAUGGAGGAGGCAGCAGAGACUCUGCUCUCCUCGUUUGGAUUAAUUCUGAUAUAAUAACUGUUGGUUUAUUUAUCGGUGGAGCAGCACAACAUUUUCCACAGACAGUUUUUCUGCCCGUUGGUUUGUUUCAACCAGUUUUCUACCUUCGGCUGAUUCUACCAGCAGACACUGAAAGGACUGAUAGUUCGAGUGAAAGUAGCAAUUCCUCCUUAAGGUCAGAGAUUGCAGCAUCUGAGGGCCUCUUCAAAAGAAGACGUAGAUGAUGAAGGCAUUCUGGAGCAGGACCAGAAAGACCACGACCAAGCAGCCUUGAGAUCUUAGGCAGCGUCUCCCUCAGGUCCCUCUCUAUCUCCCUACACAUCCACCAACCACUGGAACACAUCUCCAAAGUUCUGCCGGGCCAGCUCAGCUUCCCCUCAGAAGAAGUUCCACCAGAUGAAGGAGCCUUUUGAGAGGCAGCUGGCAUCGUGAUUGGACUGUACUUUGGUCUGUUCCAAUCCAGCUUCAGCUCCAGAGACGGCAGGCGGGACGAGUCAACGGAGGCCGGGUGGACGAAGGCAUGCAGCUGAGUACAAUCCAGAAAACAACAGAGGAGGAGUGCAGGGCCAGAACAAACAGAGUAGCAUCGUAUGUCUCUUAGAAAACAUCAUAGUAUAGCCUUUGGGAUGAAAAAACGCCAUCAUAUACAUCGUAUAUUGUAAA